AAAUUUUCUGUUUCUUUUUCUGGCCAAAAAGACAGCAAGAGUUGUUGCCCUUUUUUGUUGGUCAAUUAAAAGUGCCAGAGAGAGAAUUUCCAUAUAAGAAAAGCUGCAAAAAAUCACUCUCCCCAUAAAUGGUCUAUGCAAAAAUCGUGCAAGAAAAGGGAAUUCAAUUAAAGUGUGGAAAAUGAUGGGACGAGCCAGAGACUAAUUGAAAAAUCAAGGCACACACCUGCGCACAUGGCUGUGACUGUGAGAGUGCCGCGCUGUCAGUGUGGGUGUGGGUGUGUGUGUGUGUGUGUGUUGAAGGCUAAAGCUGAAGCAGCAGCAGCAGCAGCAGCAGUGGUAGCAGCCGAAAGCCAGGCCAAAAGAAAAGCCAACAAGUAAAGCCAGAAAGAAAAAAAAAGUUGCAUGUCCCCGAAUAUUUUGCAGCCGAGGCUAAUGACAACAUUGGAAAAUUGUCAGUUCAGUGAGGAGGAGAGAGCACGUGCAUGGGAAAACCCCAGGGAAAGUGAAAGUGAAAAACGGAGUAACAUUUUGGGGCCUUCAAUUUGUUCCCUUCUUCUACCUUUUAGUCUGAAUAAUUUAUCAUUAAUUUAACAUGCAUUAAAAUAUAUUAUUUGAUUGAUGAAUGCGCCAUGUGAGCCGCCCAGAGCCAGCUUAGUUGUCGGCAACAUUUCUUAUAGAUAAUAUGAGUAGAAAGAUACUUAAUACCUGAGCACACCGAAUGGAUUCACAUUUGUUUAGAUAUUUUAUAGUUCUCGCCUUGUUGCAGCCAAAAGAAAAGACGGGUAAACCACAGUGAUAAAGACAAAGUGUUCAAGACAAACAAAAAACAUUAUAAAUAAUCAUAGAUAAUGUAAACAAAUAAAACCGAAAUAUUCAGUUAAUAAAUGAAACCAAACGCUGAAAGGAAAUGUUUGGGGCUAAACCAUCGAAAAGUUGUUCAAGAAGUCAAAGAAGCGCACAAUUAGCUUAAAACUGACUAAAAAGGAGACAGAAUUUACACAAGCAAAAGGAUAAUCACAAGUUAAACCAGAAACAGCGAAGGAGAACAGCAAAAAACAGCUAAAAACUCUACGAAAUAUUUUAACUCGUAAAUUGUAGCGCACAGGAUCAUAAAAAAAAACACAACAGCAACAUUAAAAGCCAUCGGAAAGGAGCCUUACAACAACAACAA